rnacentral:tRNA from 1 species
UCCUCAUUAGCUCAGUUGGGUAGAGCAUCUGACUGUUAAUCAGAGUGUCAUCGGUUCGAAUCCGAUAUGAGGAU